rnacentral:ncRNA from 1 species
AACUACUAGGGGUGCUCAAUAUUGUGUGGGCUGAGAGGAAAGCACGUAACUUUCCGACUCUUAUGGACCUGAUCUGGUUAAUACCAGCGGAGGGAAGUAG